rnacentral:lncRNA from 1 species
AUAUAGAAAAUAUAGCUAAUCUCUCUUGGAUGGCCUGAACCAUCAAAUACUAAACUUGCUGAAACUAAUUGAGUACUUUCUUUUUUCCCCAGUUAUUGCUAAGUAUCAUAAUACAUCCAUGUUCCCACUGGCAUAUGAAGAUCAGAGAAUUAUAAACACUGACAGACUUGUAAGAUUCCAAGAGGACAUAGGACGCUAUCAGAUGCAUUUUUAAAAUAAUUCCCACCUGUAGGCUCCACCCCUCCUACAAAGU